ACCCUCUCAAGGUCGCUCUUGGAGAGUUUCCAUGACUCUACUAGUCUCGAUUAUGGGAGGGAGAGUCCAAGCAGAGGCCUACCCAUUCCAUUACUAGCUUAGCCAGUAGCUAGUGAGUGGAAGGCAAUCUGCUACAAGU